AUUGAACGCUGGCGGCAUGCCUUACACAUGCAAGUCGAACGGCAGCACGGGAGCAAUCCUGGUGGCGAGUGGCGAACGGGUGAGUAAUGUAUCGGAACGUACCUUUCAGCGGGGGAUAACGUAGCGAAAGUUACGCUAAUACCGCAUAUUCUGUGAGCAGGAAAGCAGGGGAUCGCAAGACCUUGCGCUGAUUGAGCGGCCGAUAUCAGAUUAGCUAGUUGGUGAGGUAAAGGCUCACCAAGGCGACGAUCUGUAGCGGGUCUGAGAGGAUGAUCCGCCACACUGGAACUGAGACACGGUCCAGACUCCUACGGGAGGCAGCAGUGGGGAAUUUUGGACAAUGGGCGCAAGCCUGAUCCAGCCAUGCCGCGUGAGUGAAGAAGGCCUGGUGUAAG
rnacentral:rRNA from 1 species